UACGUAGGGUGCGAGCGUUGUCCGGAAUUAUUGGGCGUAAAGAGCUUGUAGGCGGUUUGUCGCGUCUGCCGUGAAAAUUCGAGGCUCAACCUCGAACUUGCGGUGGGUACGGGCAGACUAGAGUGUGGUAGGGGAGACUGGAAUUCCUGGUGUAGCGGUGAAAUGCGCAGAUAUCAGGAGGAACACCGAUGGCGAAGGCAGGUCUCUGGGCCACUACUGACGCUGAGACGCGAAAGCCAGGGGAGCAAACGGG
rnacentral:rRNA from 1 species